AAUCUGCGCAACCAGCAAUGGUGCGCCGAAUUGUGGUCUGAAGAAGUAUUGUCGGCCGCGAGUCCGGGUUAACUGUAUUGGAAAAUACGGCCUGUGAGGGUGAAAGCCCCGUUCAUGCCUGGACUUGUUGCGCUUUGGCACAUGCUUUCUACGAGUCGAGUUGCUUGGGAUUGCAGCUCAAAUUUGGUGGUAAAUUCCAUCUAAAGCUAAAUAUUGGUGUGACACCGAUAGUGUACAAGUACCGUGAGGGAAAGAUGCAAAGAACUUUGAAAAGAGAGUUAAAGAGUACCUGAAAUUGUUAAAAGGGAAGCGAAGGAAUCCAGUGUAAAGCGAAGCCAUUCUUCUCAAGCCACUUGUGGUUUGGGCGCUGUGGUUAGCUGUACUAAUUCUGGGCUUGACCUGGGGCAUACGUUCUUCGAGUAGACGACUCUUCGGAGUGAGUGCUCGUUUUUCAUAUCCUGGGUCGGGCUGAGGUCAGUCACUCUGUGCUCGUGAUGAAUUAGGAAAUGGAUUUCUUUACCCCGUCUUGAAACACGGACCAAGGAGUCUAACAUAUGUGCAAGUACGUCAGUGGCAAACUGAUAUGCGUAAUGAAAGUAACAGUGGUAGGAACCUUCGGGUGCACUAUCCGCCGGCCAUAAUCCUUCGGGAGAAAGGUCUGAGUGUGAGCAUACAUGUUGGGACCCGAAAGAUGG
rnacentral:rRNA from 1 species